rnacentral:lncRNA from 1 species
GGAAAAUGAAGAACAGGGUCAGUGUCAGCCCCUACAGUCAGUGCACACAUCAGCAGACCAUGGAGUCACAGUGCCAGGCACUGCAGACAGCAGCAUGGACUAAUGUGCCAACAGCUAGAGUGGGAUCUUAGCGUGACAGAGACCCAUGUGCCCAUGCUGCCAGUCACUGGAGCAAGAGCAGCUGUGGAGGAGCCUUCCCAUGGAAGCUGCAAGUCAGAAACUGGAGUUUGACAGCAAGUUGUCUGUGAUUUGCUUUUCUCAAGCACCAGCUGGAAAUUAAACUCAUUGAGCAAGAACUGAAGAGUAACCAGCCCAGAUAUGCAAAGUUUUUCACCAGUUCACCUGGUGGUUAACUAUGACUUCAGGAGUUGCUGACCACCAGGGACCACCAAAGAGAUGCUCAGGACAUCAGAAUGCAUACACAAAGAAGAGGAAAUGUGUGUAAAUUAUUUUGGGGAAAUUAUUAUCAUACGUGUGUCUAUUACAGGAAAAUAAAUGAAUAUACAUAUAAAAUACA